UACGUAGGGGGCAAGCGUUGUCCGGAAUCAUUGGGCGUAAAGAGCGCGUAGGCGGUCCGGUAAGUCCGCUGUGAAAGUCAAGGGCUCAACCCUUGAAUGCCGGUGGAUACUGUCGGGCUAGAGUCCGGAAGAGGCGAGUGGAAUUCCUGGUGUAGCGGUGAAAUGCGCAGAUAUCAGGAGGAACACCAAUGGCGAAGGCAGCUCGCUGGGACGGUACUGACGCUGAGACGCGAAAGCGUGGGGAGCGAACAGG
rnacentral:rRNA from 1 species